AUUGAACGCUGGCGGCAUGCUUUACACAUGCAAGUCGAGCGGCAGCGCGGGGGCAACCCUGGCGGCGAGCGGCGAACGGGGGAGUAAUGCAUCGGAACGUAUCCUCUUGUGGGGGAUAACCCACCGAAAGGUGGGCUAAUACCGCAUAAGCUCUGAGGAGGAAAGCGGGGGGACCGAAAGGCCUCGCGCAGGAGGAGCGGCCGAUGUCCGAUUAGCUAGUUGGUGGGGUAAAGGCCCACCAAGGCGACGAUCGGUAGCUGGUCUGAGAGGAUGAUCAGCCACACUGGGACUGAGACACGGCCCAGACUCCUACGGGAGGCAGCAGUGGGGGAAUUUGGUACAAUGGGGGGCGAACCCUGAUCCAGCCAUGCCGCGUGAGUGAAGAAGGCCUUCGGUUGUAAGACUCUUUGUC
rnacentral:rRNA from 1 species